ACAUCGGUCCUACGCAACGUCUUCCCGCCAAUCCCGCCAGGUCCGGAAGGAAGCAACGGUAACGGGCUCUUGCGUGUGCAGUAGGCAGCCGGUGUCCG
rnacentral:SRP_RNA from 1 species